rnacentral:rRNA from 1 species
UAGGGAAUCUUCGGCAAUGGACGAAAGUCUGACCGAGCAACGCCGCGUGAGUGAAGAAGGUUUUCGGAUCGUAAAACUCUGUUAUUAGAGAAGAACAAGGACGUUAGUAACUGAACGUCCCCUGACGGUAUCUAACCAGAAAGCCACGGCUAACUACGUGCCAGCAGUCGCGGUAAUACGUAGGUGGCAAGCGUUGUCCGGAUUUAUUGGGCGUAAAGCGAGCGCAGGCGGUUUCUUAAGUCUGAUGUGAAAGCCCCCGGCUCAACCGGGGAGGGUCAUUGGAAACUGGGAGACUUGAGUGCAGAAGAGGAGAGUGGAAUUCCAUGUGUAGCGGUGAAAUGCGUAGAUAUAUGGAGGAACACCAGUGGCGAAGGCGGCUCUCUGGUCUGUAACUGACGCUGAGGCUCGAAAGCGUGGGGAGCAAACAGG